rnacentral:rRNA from 1 species
AACGAACGCUGGCGGCGUGGAUUAGGCAUGCAAGUCGCACGAGAAAGUCCCCUUCGGGGGAUGAGUAAAGUGGCGAAAGGGUGAGUAAUGCGUAGAUAACCUGCCCUCGAGAUUGGGAAAACAGCUCGAAAGGGCUGCUAAUACCAAAUGGUACCGAGAGCUCAGGCUCUCUCGUUAAAGGUGGGGACCUUCGGGCCUGCCGCUCGAGGAGGGGUCUACGUCCUAUUAGCUUGUUGGUGGGGUAACGGCCUACCAAGGUGACGAUGGGUAGCCGGCCUGAGAGGGUGUCCGGCCACACUGGGACUGAGACACUGCCCAGACUCCUACGGGAGGCUGCAGUCGAGAAUCUUCCGCAAUGGGCGAAAGCCUGACGGAGCGACGCCGCGUGGACGAUGAAGGCCUUCGGGUUGUAAAGUCCUUUCGCGCAGUAGGAAACCCGCGGUGUUAAUAGCACCGCGAUUGACGUUACUGUGUAAAGAAGCUCCGGCUAACUUCGUG